GAACAAGACUGCUGAUCGCUGAUUGGCUGCUGGGAGAGGCGUACGGCUGUGACGUCAGCAGCAGAGAGCAAAGAUGGCGGCGGUGACCAGAGGCUCCUUCGCUGUUCUCAGACGGCUGCUGACUCAGCAGUACCGGCGCCGAUGUUUCCGGCUGCAGAGCGUCAGAUGUGACCGAACGGUGCAGCCGCUGGCGUUCAGAUGGGACAGAAACAUCCAGAUGUUGAGCAGCAGGACGCUGCACAUCGCCAGCGUGAGCCGAGGACCCAUCGUCCAGUUCAAACUGUCGGACAUCGGAGAGGGAAUCAUGGAGGUGACGGUGAAGGAGUGGUACGUGAAGGAGGGCGAUAAGGUGUCCCAGUUCGACAGCAUCUGUGAGGUGCAGAGCGACAAGGCGUCCGUCACCAUCACCAGCCGCUACGACGGCGUCAUCAAGAGGCUCUACUACGAUGUAGACGCCACGGCCCUGGUCGGGAAACCGCUGGUCGACAUCGAGACCGAGGCAGGCCCAGCGGUGAUCCCGGAGGAGGACGUGGUGGAGACACCCGCCAUGGCUCGAGAAGAACACACCCACCAGGAGAUCAAAGGUCUGAAGACGCAGGCCACGCCCGCCGUCAGACGCCUCGCCAUCGAGAACAACAUUAAACUCAGCGAGGUUGUGGGGACAGGGAGAGACGGACGCAUCCUGAAGGAAGACAUCCUGAACUUCCUGGCGAAGCAGACGGGCGCCAUCAUCCCUCCGACUCUGUUCCAGGAGAUCCAGACUCCGCCUCCGGCCCCGGCCACCGCUGCCCGGCCCGCAAGCACGGCGGCCGCCGCCAAACCUCCGCCCGCCACACCCAGACCCGUCUUCACCGGGAAGGACGUCACCGAGCCGCUCAAAGGUUUCCACAAAGCGAUGGUGCGGACGAUGACAGCAGCUCUGAAGAUUCCUCACUUUGGUUACUGUGAUGAGGUGGACCUGAGCCGCCUGGUGUCCCUGAGAUCUGAGCUCCGCUCCAUCGCCGAGGCUCGGGGGGUCAAACUCAGCUACAUGCCCUUCUUCAUCAAGGCUGCCUCGCUCGGCCUCCUGCACUUCCCUGUCCUCAACGCGUCGGUGGACGAAGGCUGCCAGAACAUCACCUACAAGGCGUCUCAUAACAUAGGGCUGGCGAUGGACACUCUUCAGGGCCUGCUGGUUCCCAACGUGAAGAACGUGCAGCUGCUCAGUGUGUUCGACAUCGCCCAGGAGCUAAACCGUCUGCAGGCGCUCGGAGUGGCGGGGCAGCUGGGAACCAGCGAGCUGAGUGGAGGAACCUUCACGCUGUCCAACAUCGGCUCCAUCGGAGGAACGUACGCCAAACCGGUCAUUCUUCCUCCUGAAGUCGCCAUCGGCGCUCUGGGAAAAAUCCAGGUUCUCCCUCGGUUCGAUGCCAGCGGUUCCGUGGUUCCGGCUCACAUCAUGAAGGUCAGCUGGUCGGCAGAUCAUCGCAUCAUCGACGGGGCCACCAUGUGUCGCUUCUCCAACCUGUGGAGAGAAUACCUGGAGAACCCUGCCAGCAUGCUGCUGGACCUCAAAUAAACUUUACCCAUCAGCCCCGGGGCAGACGGAGACGCCACGCUGACAGACCUUCACUCCUCCUCUCUCCUCCUCUCUGUCUCUCUCUCUCUCUCUCUCUCGCUGUCUCUCUCUCUCUCUCUCUCUCUCUCUCUCUCUCUCUCGCUGUCUCUCUCUCUCUCCGAGGCCUUUGUGUUCACUUUCACUCGCCAUCGUUUCCUUGUUGCCUUUGAGCAAGGCGCUGUGAUGAGGAGGAGGGGCCAGCCUAUCAAUCAUGUUGUUUCACACAUACUCUCACACAGACACUUGGUUUGGUUAAAGUCUGACCUUUGGUUUGGUGUUUUUCAGUUCAAACUGCCGAGUUUAAUUUUUAAUGUUU